rnacentral:lncRNA from 1 species
AAUAAAGGAUGGCUGGAUAUCCUGGUCAGGCAUUUGGAAGGCCUCCAAGAAAGUCAUGAUGAGUAAGUGAGUUGGGCUUGGUUUGUGUUCAAGUCCUGAAUUCAGGGCUUUUCAAAAGAAAAGGAAAACUCCAGGAACUUUCCUUUCCAAAUAUCUUAAAAAUGUAAGGAACUUUUGUGGGUUAAAAAAAAAAAAAGAUAAAAAUAAGAGACUGGGUUCAGCUCAGUGUUAGAGUCUUAGUAUGAGUGAGGCCCUGGAUUCCAUUCCUACAUCAAUCAAACAGUAGAUUUAAGAAAGUAAAUAGGCCAGGCAGUGGUAGCGCACACCUUUAAUUUCAGCACUUGGGAGGCAGAGGCAGGCAGAUCUCCAAGUUCUAGGCCAGCCUGCAGGUGAGAUGGCUCAUCAGGUAAAAGUGCUUGCUGCCUAGCCUGAGGACGGGAAGUCCAUUCCCAGGUCCCAAAUGUCAGAAGAUGAGAACCAACUCCAGCAACCUGCUCUCUAACCUUCACACAUGUGUAUCCCAGACACAUAUAAAAUAUAACAAAUGAUGUAAUUUUUAAAUGCUGAAAAAAGAGAGAGCAAAUAGCAUAGAAUUUGUGCUAGAGCUCACAAACUAUAUUUAUUAUAUAGCGUAAAAAUGCUGUGUGUGUGUGUGUGUGUGUGUGUGUGUGUGUGUGUGUGUGUGUGCGCAUAUUAAGGCUGGAACCCAGGGCUUCAUACAUGAAAGGUUACUGCUGAGUUACAUUCCCAGCCCCUGUGUUGUAUUUUGUUUAUUUAUUGCUUAAGGGGCAACUGUAACACGUUGUACUUAUCUCUUUACUAGGCAGUGAUCUCAUUUAUAUGUGAAUGCAUGUCCCUUACAGGCGUGUGGACACUUUAAAAUCCAGACCCCCUUCUUGCUCUGUGUCUUUAGGGCUCAGUGUGUAAACUCAUUGGCAACAUCAAAGGUUGAAACCUGAGGCCUCUGUCACAUGUGAGGUUGGGGCCAAAUGUGCUUGCAGUCCCUGUCUCUGCUCUUCUCUGCCUGGCCCUGUCUGCUCUGGCUGGGUGACCUUGAGCAAAGCAGUUAGGCUUCAACUCCAUAGUCCUAGUCAGUAAUUCCUCAUUGGCACCCACCUCAUAGUGUGGUUUAGACAACUCCCAUAGUAUUGUUCAUUUGGCUCAGGGGGAGGCAUAGCAAACGCUUAAUAAAUAUUAGUUCAAGUCAGUCACUAUUAUUGGAACCAAGACUCAACGCCUUGUCCAAAGUUCACUCAAUUGGUCUGUGAGGCUUACUGCCCCACCCUAAGAGUGUUCAUUCUGAGUUCAGUCAACACAUACUCUUCAUUGAAUGACUGUUUAUUUGUAUGGUAGAG